rnacentral:rRNA from 1 species
UUAAACUAGGGAUUAGAUACCCUAUUAUUAAAAUUUAAAUUAGUAAUACUAAAAUAGUAAAUAAUUAUUUAUUGAAACUUAAAUAAUUUGGCGGUAUUUUAGUUCAUUUAGAGGGAUCUGUUUAAUAAUUGAUAAUCCACGAAUAAAUUUACUUAAUUUUUUAUUUUGUAUAUCGUUGUUAAAAAAAUAUUUUUUAAUAAUAAUAAUAUUUAAAAAUUUUAAUUAAAAAUUAAAUCAGAUCAAGAUGCAGAUUAUAAUUAAGAAUAUAAUGGAUUACAAUAAAUUUAUUUAUAUGAAUAUUAGUUUGUAAAAUUUAAUUGAAGGUGGAUUUAAAUGUAA